UGGCUCAGGACGAACGCUGGCGGCGUGCUUAACACAUGCAAGUCGAACGGAGUGCUCAUGAUAGAGGUUUCGGCCAAUUGAAUGAGUUACUUAGUGGCGGACUGGUGAGUAACGCGUGAGGAACCUGCCUUUCAGAGGGGGGACAACAGUUGGAAACGACUGCUAAUACCGCAUGACGCAUGACCGGGGGCAUCCCGGACAUGCCAAAGAUUUAUCGCUGAAAGAUGGCCUCGCGUCUGAUUAGAUAGUUGGCGGGGUAACGGCCCACCAAGUCGACGAUCAGUAGCCGGACUGAGAGGUUGACCGGCCACAUUGGGACUGAGAUACGGCCCAGACUCCUACGGGAGGCAGCAGUGGGGAAUAUUGGGCAAUGGACGCAAGUCUGACCCAGCAACGCCGCGUGAAGGAAGAAGGCUUUCGGGUUGUAAACUUCUUUGACAGGGGAAGAGCAGAAGACGGUACCCUGAAAACAAGCCACGGCUAACUACGUG
rnacentral:rRNA from 1 species